rnacentral:tRNA from 1 species
GUCUUGGUAGAGUAAGGGAUAGAGCUCGGUGCUCGGAAGCACAAGUGCGGGUUCGAAUCCCGCCCGAGACU